AUAAUUGCGCUUGGGGCAAUGACGCAGCUCAUGAGGUUCUAAUCGAGGCGCGUCAAUUGCUUGUUGAAAACUAUUUCCCUUUUCUCUUUGGCCUAGGUUCCACCUAGCUAUCGAGAAUUUUUGGAAGGGCUCCCUUCUUGGGUAAAGCC